CUUCCCGGGCCUCGCGCGUGGGGCCGCAGGAGCCAAUCCGAGGGUGGGAGCGGAGCGGCGCCCUGCGGAAAGCGGAUUCUACCUCGGAGAGGGCGGGGCGGACAAUGGAGAGGUGCGGCUGCAAGAGGACAAUGGCGGGGCUGGGGGUUCGGAACGGGCCGAAUCGGGGAGGGGGUUGGCCUCGGGACCCGGAAGGAGGGAGAGGCGAGAGGGCUGGCUUGCCUGGGACGGGGGCAUGGGGACUGCUGUGCGGGGAUUGCGGGGGUCACGGGGAAGGAGCAGGGGCCAGUGUAGGAAAAGAAGCCGGGGCGAGGCAAGGUGGAGGAUAUCCGGGGUCAGGGGUCCCAGGGACGCUGGAGCGAGCCCUCCUGAGUGGUGGGAUGCCACCGACACCUUGCUUCUCCCUAGCUUCUAGUGCUCGGCGCUCAGAGGUGAGAGUUGGGCUGGGAAGUGUUCAGAUUUCAGGAAACGGUGAAAAAUAAGUUUUUGGAAAUGAGCGAAUUUGUCUUCCACAAGCCUCCCUUCCCUGCGCCCAUCCCCGAGGAGGAGCGUCGUGGUCAAUUUUAAAAAUACGAACUCAAGAGCAGAGUUGUGUGAGGACACACACUUCGAAUCGUGAUGCAUCUGCAGUCCGCUCCCGCCCCUUCCCACCCCGCGCGUUGGGUGCAGGAGCCGUCUUUAUUUUCUAUUUCAUUUUAUUUUGAGACAGGGUCCCGCUCUGUGGCCCAGGCUGGAGUGCAGUGGCACUAUCACGGCUCACUGCAGCCUCGAACUUCCAGGCUAAAGAGAUCCUCCCACCUGUGCCUCCGGAGUAGCUGUGACUACAGGCGUGCACCACCACAUCUGGCUAAUUUUUAAAUUUUUUGUAGAGACAGGGUCUCCCUAUGUUUUCCAGGCUGGUCUCGAUCUCCUGGGUUCCGGCGAUCCUCCUGCCUCGACCUCCCAAAGUGCUGAGAUUAUAGGUGUGAGCCCUGUGCUUGGCCAAGGAGCCGUCUUCAGUGUGUGCACAGGACCAGGCGCAGAGAAGGUGUUGGAGGGAACUGAUGUAUGAAUGAAAGUUGAAUGUGUGCCGCGGGGGAGUGGGGUAGGGACCAUGUGAAAGCCGCUAACUGGCCUGGGGAGCUAAGGGAUGUUGGUGGCACAGUACAGUCUCUUUGUAAACCUCACACCAACCUUAUGUUGUGAUAGGUACCCCAUUUCACAGAUGAGGACUCAGCACAGAGAGGCUAAGUGACGUUCCCGAGACCACACAGCUGGCACAGAGUUCUAUCCACCCAUCAUUAUCAAAUUCUAGGGUAAAGCUGUGUGGCUUUAACAGGUUACUCUCCCUCUCUGAGCCUCUGUUUCCUCAUCUAUAAAAGAAGAAUAAAGGUGCUACUUGGCAGGGAACCAGGUGAGGGACUGGGCAGGCAGCAGGCUUCAGAGGGUGAAGCAUGGGCAUUCCCUGCAAAAGAAAUGGCAUCAGACUAUGGCUGAGAGACUGGUUGGAAGAACAAAGAAGAGGGUGAGCUGGAGGCUGAAGUUCAGGCUGCGGACUUGAGGGUGCCCUGUCUUCUUCAGGCCCAGGGGUUGGGAGUAGGCAAGUUGGGCCCAGGAAGUUGGGACUGGUCUCUGGAGCCUGAGGGCUGGGAGAAGGCAGUUUUGCCUUUACUUGUUGAACUUGACGCUAAGAAACCUUGUGGCCCUUCCCUCUGUCCAGAGCCCUCUCUGGCUCCCGGUUGCCAGCAUGACCAAGCCCUACAUCCCUAGCCUGGCGUUCCAGCCCCUUUGUUAUUGCUCUCUGCCUGCUGACUCCACCAGCCUCAUCUCCCCAUUGCUUACUUCCCUCUCUACUUGCGCCAACUUCUCUCAGCUCCAUCAGCAAGCAGGAUGCAUUCUGUCUCCAUGCAGUUGUCUCCUCCAUGUGUUGCUUUGCUGUUCCCCUUCUCUCUGGAGUUAAUUCUCAUUUCUCUGCUGGGCUGAAGGGCAGAACCUCUAGGCCAAAUGCUCAUCUGUUCUCUUCACUGCUGUAUCCCCAGAGCCUAGCACGGAGCCUGGCACAUAGUAGGUGCCAAGUAAACAAUUGUUGAAUAAAUGACCCAUCUCUCAUGAGAUUUAUCAAGAUUUAUCUCCACCAAGAUUUAUCACCACCUCCGAGAAGCCUUCCUGAACUCCCCCAGGCUGCCUGCCUUUGGUCUGGGCUCCCUCAGCUUGAAGGUUCUGUAAUGAUUGAUUUCCAUGUCUGGUUUCCCUCCCACCCGCCACCAUCCAGCCUGGUACAUGGCCUGCCCUUGUGAGAUCUCGGCACUGGGAGAUGAAUGAGGCUCUCAGAGAGUUCUCUGGCUGCCCCUGCUGCGAGAGCCUCCUUAGCUGGGUCAGAUGAGCAGGAUGUCAGAAUAAAAGGAGAUUUUCAGAACAGACCCUCCAUGACCCCUGAGGCGCUGGGGGUGUGUGAGGGGGAGGCAUGCCCAAGGUCGUCAGGAGGUGACUAGCAAACAGGUCUCAAGACACCCACAUUUGCCCUCUGGCCACUCUUCCAAAGGGGAGGGAGUCUUGUGAGCUGGGGAAUCUGGCCUUUUGGUGGCCAAGGAGUUCCAUGAAGCAUGACAGAGGUGGUCAUGGUGGCUGGUCUGGGCGGUGGUCGAGGGUGAGGCUACACGGAAACAUUAGCCUUUUCUGCCUGAUGCCCUACUUCUCCCAAGAACCUUCUACCUUCCUUACAUUCUUCUCACCGGAGGCAGCAGCUUCAGCUUCGGGCCCCAGGGCUGUUAAACGCAGCUCCUCCCAUUCUUAUGGCAGAUAGACAUUCACUUUCACGUCUACAUUUAUAUUAGUAUUUUGCAGUUUUUCUUAAACAGGGCCACUGAAUUGUAUGAGGCUCCACACCCCUGGAGAUCUACUUCCAACAAAUCCUUCCACUGCGUCCAUAUAUGCAGGUCCUGUGUGAGGCGUUGGCAGGGACGCUCUGCCCUCCUGCAGCUCCCUGUCUGGUGGGGUGAUUGGGCUCCACUGAGCUCAUUGAGCCCUCAAAAUGCUUCAUGCCUUCCUACCCCUCUGCCUCCGUCCCUGCCAGCCUGGAGUCCUUUCCCUGUCCCUCCUGCCUGCAUGUGUCCCGCUUGCCUAGUGGAUUUUCUCCAUCCUUCAAGGCCCUUCUCACAAGCUGAUGCCUCUGAGAACCCUGCCCACUUCUCCCAGUGACAAGCACAGCCUCUUCCUUUGGAGCCUGUGGCACCGAAGGCCCUUUGCCUCUUCUGAUGCCUUUGGAUCUGGGCUGCUGUUGAUGGGUCAAUUUUCCCACCAGAUUAUGAGCUUUUGGAGGGCAAGGGGUGGAGUCUGAUUUCUCGCUGCCCGAGUCCCUCAUUCACCAAUGUUUCCUGAGUUGGACCAAGUCCUAUACCAAACAUUGGGUAUCCAGGGAUGGGACAAUCAGAUGAGAACCUGCCCUCAUCAUCGAGGAGCCCCCAGUCCCAGAGCUGUCUGCAUGGAAAUGUGUACCAAGUGCUUUCUGAACAGAGGAGGCUGCCUGAUUCAGCUGGAGGAGGGCAAGCUGGGUCAAGGGCAGCUUCACAGGGAGGGUGACACUUGGGUAUUUAAGAAGCAGAACUUAUCAAGAUAAGGAGGGAAGCGUCUUCUGGGCAGACGGAACAUUGAGCGCAAAGGCAUGAAAGUGGGAAUGGGCAGGUGGAGGGUGAGAAGUUAGUGUAUUUAGGGCAACAGAAAUGACGGAGGGAGAAGUGGGUUGCACAACAGAGCAGUUAGAGCACAGACUCUGGAGCCACAUGGCCUAGGUUCGAAUCCUGACACUACCAAGUGCUAGCUCUGUUGUUACUCAGUGCCUCAGUUUCCUUAUCUGUAGAGUGGGGAUAAUCCCAGUACUUACUUUGUAGGAUAUUUAUAAGGAUUAAGUGAGUUAAUUUUUGUAAGGCACCUAGGGUAGUGUUGAUGACACACGUAAGUUCCUAGUGAGUGUUAGGUAAAUGAGGGGGAGCCGGAGAGGCCAUGAUAGGUGGGGUUCAUGUUUGGAAUUUAUCUGGAGGACAUUGGAGCAUUAGCAAGGAGGGAGUGUGAAGGGGAGUGGGAAGCUUGGCUUGGACCCAGCCUGCUCUGCCCACUCACGCACAUCCAGAGGGCAUCCCUGGGACCCCCACCUGCCUGCCCCUCCUGCUCUCUGGUCUUCCACUGCCCUCAGUGGCCCUGUGGCCUCAACUAACCUCAGCUGAUGUAUAACAGGGCUGUAGGAGCUGGGGCCACACCUACCCCAGUACACCUGGGGGAAACUUUAUGUUCCAGUUUAUUGCCAAAGGAGGUCAAGUAGGGGUCCCGAGGGGAUCCGGGACACAUGUGCAGGGUGAGCAUCUGAGCUGUAGCCUGGCUUAACGCAUGGUGGAUUUGGUAAGAGUGUGUAUGUGGAAUGGGGAGUGGAGAGGGGCUGGAGGCACUUGCCUGGCCUGGAGAGCUGGUUGGAUGUAGGGCACUGUGGGCUGUGAUGCUGUGGGCUUGGGAGCCAGGUGCACAUCCUGGCCCAGUCACCUUCCCUCUCUGUGCCUGAGAUUCCUGUGGGUAAAAGGGAGAUGAAAAUAGUAGCUCCUUCAGGCCGGUUAGCUCAGUUGGGAAAAAAAAGAAAAAGAAAAUAGUGGCUACUUCAAAGGUGGUAAGGAUGAAAAGAUCAAAUGUUCAGUCAGUGAGGCCUGAGGUACAUGGUGUAUAUCUGGGAGACCAAAAUCAAUUCUGUAGUACCAAGGCCGAAAGGUCAAGAGAGACUGUGGCUGGAGAGCCAGGCAGAGGGACGUGCCACACAAGGUCUUAGUCAAGAGUUGGCCUCUGUGCUGAGGGUGGAGGGGAGCCAUGGGAGGGUUUCACAGGGACAACAAGGUCAUAUGUGCUUCUCAGAGAUCACUGAGGUAGACAGACUGGGGCCUGUGUUAAGAGUCAAGGUGACAAGGAGAGGCGCGGGUCUGAGCCUGGGCCCCGGCUGUGGCCCAAGUGGGUGGGAGGCAUCCCAGAACAUCUACAGGGAAAGAGGCUCGAGCUACUGAUUUGUGUCCACGUAGGGCAAGAGUGAGCUAGAAAUGCCUGGGUGACUCCCAGGGCCCAGCUGGUGGUGCCAUUUCCUGGGGUGGGGAGCCUGGAGAUGCAGGUAUGGGGAAAGGUGAUGAUGUGGCUUGGGGACACAGUGAGUUUGAGGGACCAUUGGGAGAUACAUGGGAUAUUCCUCGGUAGAGCUCUGGGGGGCGGGGCCGGGCUUGAGUCCACCUCUUGGGAAUGGACAGCCUUUGGGAGGAGAGGCUGAGUAGCCCCUGGGAGGGAAGCGUGGCUCACCACGGAUGAAAACCAACAGGGAGGGGAUGGGCAGGGGCAGGGGCCUGAGGAGGAGCCCUCUGAGGGGAAGAAGAGGACAGAGGGGAGCAGACAGUGAGAGGAGAGUGUGCAGGGAGAGGUUAGCCAGGGCCGGGAGGGCCAGGAUGGAGGUGUCCCCUGGGGUGGGCCAUUGGGACUGUGGGUGACUUGGGAAGGGUGAUGUGCAUAGGGUGGGAGGCAGGAGCAGGGGCUCACUUGGUGACAUGGUGGACAGCCCCUUUCAGGGCAGCUGGCAGGGCAACAUGGUUGGAUGGCAGCUGGCGGGGAAGGCAGAGGCAGAGGAGGGUUUUGGUUUUGGUGUUGGUUCCUGGAGGAGGGCUUCAGUUAAAGCUCUGUGAAUAAGGGAGGGGCAGGAAGCUGACCUGGGACUGAGGAGAGGCUGUAUUUGGGGGUUGGGGGUGAGGACCACAGUGGGGACAGGAGAGACAGAGCUGAAGCAGCCCCUUCUCACUUCGUAGAGGGGGCUUUGGGAAAUGUCUGUGUCAAGUUAAUAAAAAAUGAUAUCAUGGCUGGGUGGGGUAGCUGACACAUGUAAUCCCAGCACUUUGGGAGGCCAAGGCGGAUGGAUCACUUGAGGCCAGGGGUUUGAGACCAGCCUGGCCAACAUAGUGAAACCCCAUCUCUACUAAAAAUACAAAAAUUAGCCACGUGUGGUGGUGCAUGCCUGUAGUCCCAGCUACUUGGGAAGCAUGAGGCAUGAGGUGGAGGCUGCAGAGAGCUGAGAUCGUGCCACUUCACUCCACCCUGGGAGACCCUGUCUCAAAAAAAAAAAGAUACCUGACCCCCUUUCUCAUUCUCCUGGAUCACUGUUCAGGCUCCAGUCUUGCAAGGCUGGGGAGCUUCACAUUCCUUUCUGACCCCAGAUCCUGGAAGCUUCCUCUCCCACCAGGUCUUGUCGCCAGCCAGUGGGAAUAACCGAGGUCACCAUAAUGCCAUGCUGACCCUUCCCCAGAGCCUUUGGAUGCUCACUAGAAGAACUAUCUGCUUUGUCCCCACCAUUGUCAGUUGCCGGGGACUGCUUCCCUCCAACCCCCACCAUGAACUUGCCAGAUUGAUUUCUGUGUCGCAGCACAGGGUGUGGCCACACCCAGUAGGCACUCAAUACCUUUAACUGUAGAAAUGCAGAGGGAAUGCCUUCAUUUGGCUGCCUCUGCUGCCCCCUGCUGUCUGAGACUGGUUGGUACAACAUUAAAGGGCUGGUUCUGGAACUUAAUGGUUUCGGGACCCCUUUUCUUGCCUAAAAAUUAUUGAGGACCCCAAAGAACAUCUGUUUAUACGUUUUAUGUCUAUUGGUAUUUACAGUAAUAUAAAUUUAAAUUGAUAUGUUUUUAAAAUAUUCAUAUUAUAUGAUUAAAAUAAUAAAUGUAGUGUAACAACAUAUUUUUAGAAAAAAUAUUUCCCAAAAUAAAAAAUUAAUGAGAAAAGUGGCAUUAUUUUAUAUGUUUACAAAUUUCUUUAAUGUCUUGAUAGAAGACAGCUGGAUUUUCAAACACACUUCUGCAUUUAAUCUGAUGCAAUAUGUUGUUUUAAGUGAAGUUUAUGAAGAAAAUACAGGCUUACGCAAAUACAUAGUUGUAAAAGGGAUAUGUUAACAGCCCUUUCAAAUAAUUGUGGCUAUUCUUUUUUUUAUUUUUUAGAGGCAGGAUCUUGCUCUGUUGGCCAGGCUGGAGUGCAGUGGCAUGAUCAUAGCUCACUGUAACCUCAAACUCUUGGGCUCAAGUGAUCCUUUCACCUCAGCCUCCCAAGUAGCAAGGACUACAGGUACUCACCACCACACUCAGCUCAUUUUUCUUUUUUUUGGUACAGAUGGGGUCUCACUAUGUUGCCCAGGCUGGUCUUUUCCUGGCCUCAAGCAAUCCUCCUGCCUCAGCUUCCCUAAGUGCUGGGAUUACAGGUGUGAACUACUGAGCCUGGCUAUUCUUUUUUGAUACUAGCCAAAACUUGACAAGUGCUGUUUUUUUUUUUUGAAGGUUAGUUGUGAUUAGAAUCUGAAAUCUAGCCGGGCGCAGUGGCUCAUGCCUGUAAUCCCAGCACUUUGGGAGGCUGAGGUGGGUGGAUCACGAGGUCAGGAGUUCGAGACCAGCUUGGCCAAUAUGGUGAAACCCCGUCUCUACUAAAAAUACAAAAAUUAGCUGGGCAUGGUGGCGCCUGCCUGUAGUCCCAGCUGCUCGGGAGGCUGAGGCAGGAGAAUCUCUUGAACCCGGGAGGCGGAGGUUGCAGUGAGCCAAGAUUCUGCCACUGCACUCAGUCUCAAAAAAAAAAAAAAAAAUCUGAAAUCCUAUCAAUGAAAUUUUUAUGUUCAAUUACAUUAAAAUACAUUAGACUCUUUCGCAUUUUGGAUAUAUCUUUUGCCCAAGCAUGAUGUUAUAACUUAAUGCACUGGCUGUUUGGAAAAAAAUGGUUCACCAAGUUAUGCAGGUCUUUCAAAUAUUGACAAAUAUUAGUAUACUAUGUUUUAAAAAUCACAUUAGUUAAUAUCAACACCGAUCUCAUCAGAGAAGUCUUUAAGUAUUGGGAAGCUGCCAAGGUCACAGUGGUGAACACAAGGUUUCUAAAAUUCCAAUUUUCACUUGAGCUUGGGUUUCAUCAUUAGCAAUAAAUACUGUCAGUUUGCUGUGAAAUGACAGAUUCAUUUUAUUCAUUCUUGAGAAAAUGUCUGCCAGAGACUCAAGUCUGCAUAAGCAUAAUUUAUCUGUCAGUAUUUCUUUCAGGUCAAAAUGGUGUUCCAUGAAAAAAAAAAAGUGACUAGUUAAGCUCACAGUUCAAACAAGUGCAAAUGCUUUUCUGGAGACAACCAUUGUGCUGCAUCGGAUAUGGCAGAAGUGCUCUAUGUUGCUUCCCAGAAUAUUAAAAAGAUGUAUACUCAAGGACCAGUAUAUUGUGAAUGGGAUCAUUUUUAUUGCUGCAUCAAAGACUUUCCUGGUCGAUGUUGGCAGUGUUUUCCUAUGAGGGCGUGGCAGUGAAAAAUGCGAUGACUUCCUGUACAUCGCAUUGGAGGCCGCCACGUUGGCUUUUGCACCGUCAGGGAAAUGUCAACCCAGCAAAAAAGGCAAAUGAUGCCUUAGUCUCAUUAUGAAAAGAGUUUUGACCUUGCAGACUUCCCCAGCAGGGUCUGUACUUGGCAUUCAUGUUUUAAUUUAACGUUCUCAUACCAGAAGCAGGGCUCAGUCACCCUUGACACAGUUUCCAAUACUAUGCCCCACCCGAAUGGCUCCAGCUGGUGGCUGGAGAUAAAACUUAGAGGCUUCUCUCCCACCUAGCAGGCUGGCUCCUGGCCUUCCCGCUCUCUCCUUUAAACGGACCAUUCAGACAUGAGCUUGUCAACUGGAAGUGACCACCUCUCAGUCACAGUGUGACCAACUGGAACUAGUGCCUGCUUGCUUUAAACCUACCAAUUAAAGCUCCCUGAGGGAAAGCUGGACACCCUCGACCCAAUAUAGGCAGUGGCCCAUGGGUCUUGUCUCUUCCUGCCUGCACUCCCUGACGUGUGUGUGUGUGUGUGUGUGUGUGUGUGUCCGUGUGUGAGAGAGAGACAGAGACACCUCUGUUGUGCCCUCCAGGGUGUGUAAGUACUAAACAUUUUUACACUUUCACACUGUGGUUUUAUCCCCUGAAGGUGAGGCCACUGAAGGACCCAUGCAGGUGGGUCCCCUCCCUACUGGCGCUCUUUUUUUUUGAGCCCCUCCACUGUUGGGAACAGCUACCAGUUAAGUUGAUAGAGUUUCCUUCAAAACAUAGCCCUGACACCCUCUCAGAACAGAGGGGCCUCCUUAUCUCCAGGAGCAGCAGGGGAGGGGGAAGGAAGAGGAGAGUUGAGAGAAGACACCUGCCCCUCUCAUCAUGUGCUUAAGAGGCACCCAUGGGCACUGUUCAGGGCCGAAAAUUAGAAAUACCCCAACCAGCCAGUACCAUGGGGGUGGUGAUAGGAACCCUGGCUUCCUAGAAUAACUCAGUUCCAGGAACCUGUGCUGAGGGCCCAGUCCAUGCCAGACCUGAGGCUGGCACUAGAGAUGCAAAAUGCAAUCAGACCCUGCCCCCUCCCCUUGAGGAGUGUUCAGUUUAGUGGGGGAGAGAAGGGUGCCACAUCAGUAAUAAAAACAGACCCCUUUAUUUUUGUUAACUUUACCAAAUGAAAUUUUAUAAAUUCAAAGUGCCAUCUACUGCUUCCUCCCGGGUUCUCUUCUUUCCCCCAGCACCCCUGCCCCCCAACACCAGGUUCUCUUCUGUAACACUCAACGCGAGGGUCCGAGGCUUCAUUCUUGAAGUCAGUGAGACCAAGAACCCUCCAAUUCCGGACACAGCGUCACCCUUAUUAUACAACAGGCUGUUUUCCUAUGCUGUCCAAAACUGCAUCGAUUCCCCCUAAAGCCGCUCCUUCAGUAUUCUCCAUCUCUGUGACAGAUCCCAACAUCCUAGACAUCACCCCCUAUAGCCCGUCAGUCACAGAGAUGCAGGGAAGGGAAUUCUAAAGCUACUGGAGGCCAGGCAUGGUGGCUCACGCCUAUAAGCCCAGCACUUUGGGAGGCCGAGGCGGGCGGAUCACUUGAGGUCAAGAGUUCAAGACCAGUCUGACCAACAUGGUGAAACCCCGUCUCUACUAAAAAUACAAAAAUUAGCUGGGCCUGGUGGCGCGCGCCUGUAAUUCCAGCCACUCGGGAGGCUGAGGGAUGAGAAUCACUUGAACCCAGGAGGUGGAAGUUGAGGUGAGCUGAGAUUGCACCACUGCACUCCAGCCUGUGUGAUGGAGUGACAGAAAGGGAGGGAGGGAGGGAGGGAGGAAGGAAGGAAGGAGGGGAGGAAGAGAACAAAAGAAAAAAAGAGAAAGCAAGCUAGCUACUGGAGUGUCCAGGCUCCCAACUCUGGAGUUUCUAUCUCCUGAACAUCUAAACAUUUUUCCAUCCACUCCUUGACCCUGUGGCUCCCAUAAUCACCUCCAAGGCCAGUGCCCAUCAUGUCAGCCUCUUCGGUGCUCUCCCUGCCUCCUCUCUUGCCCUCUCCUAUCCACUUCCCACUAUUUCAGAUCUGAGCACAGCAUUCUCUUGAUUAAAACUCCUCAGUGGCUCCCCUCUCUUGGCUCUCAGCAGCACAUGCUGGGCCCUCUACACCCAAGUCAACCUGGAAGGCACAGCUCCCGUGUCUCCUCCUCCAGGAAGCCUCCCUCUGACCAUGAGGUGGGCCUACCAUCUGGGAAAGGUGGAAGGGAAGGAGGGAUUAAGUAGAAAGAGCCUCAGACUGCACUGCAGCUCCGAGAAAGCCUCAGCCAGCCCAGUGGGGAGGCCAGAGCACAAAUUAGCUGUUAGAGGCUGGGCGUGGUGGCUCACACCUGUAGUCCCAGCUACUUGGGAGGCUGAGGCAGAAGGAUCGCUUGAGCCUGGGAGGCGGAGGUUGCAGUGAGCUGAAAUUGUGCCAUUGUGCUCCAGCCUGGGCCACAGAGUGAUACUCUGGCUCAAAAACAAACAAACAAAACAAAAACAAACAAACAAACAAAAAACAGAGGAGACAUCUGCUGGGCAGAAACGGCCAGACCUCCUUCUCCCACUGAGCUGAGUCAUUGGCUAGGGCUGCCCAAGGAGAAAGUGGCCUUGUCAGGAACACAGCAGUAGAUCCCAGGGUGUUGCUGCUGGGAUCUGUUGCUAACGACACUCCUGCUCUACACUCUCUUAAAGGAAGAUCUGAGUGGCAAACCUCCAUGGCUUGAUGGAUGUUAAAGUUGGAAGGAAUUUAAGAGAUGCUCUAGGCCAGCCGCUGUCACAUUUUACAGAUGAGAAAACUGAGGUUGGCCAGAGGAAGUGACUUGCCCAAAGCCACCCAGCAUGUAAACCAAUAUGCAAACCCAGGUUCUGACACCCAAGUCUGCGCUCUUCUGAAUCAUUGCUGACUCAGAGUCACAGUGGGGCUAGAGGGCAGUGGGAGGAGAGUGGCAAGGUAUGACUUCAGGACGCGGCUCAGGUGUCACUUCCUCACAGAAGCCCUGCCUGGACCCAAGCUCUUCUCUGGGCUCCCCGAGGCCUCUAUCCACUCAUUUACCAGUCAGUUCUGUGAAUGUCAGCUUGUGUGUCUGCUUCCAUGAGGCCAUGUCCCCAGCACCCAGCAUGGGACCCGGAACAUCGUGCUACAUGUGAAGGCCAUCUUCAGUGAAGGCCUGGACUCUCUCCAGGUGCCCUGCUAGUGCCUUCCUACUCUGGAGUCCGCUGCCUGUGGUGGGCUUUGGGCCCUGCCUGAUGCCAGCCAAACGUCCUCCCGUCCCUGGAUCCUCUCUUGCCUCCAGCUCCUGACUCCUAAGGACUCUUUAUGCCCCAGAGCCUCCUUUGCUGAGCUGCCUGAGCUGAGGGCCCAGAACUACUGGCCUUCAGAUUUGGGGUGGCACAUGGUAAGUCCUGGGGCAUUGUGAUGGGCUGGCCAGGCCCAUCCAGGGAUAUCCCUGCCUCUUACUUCCCAGUCAGUCCCAGCCCCAUUCUUCCCUCCCCACACCCCACCAAGGUACACAGGAUGCCCUGUGCUAGCUUCAGAGCUAGACCCUCACCUUUCACAGGCUGGGGAAAGGUCAGCAAAUGUGAAAGGGAGAAAGAGUCACAUUUUCUCUUUUCUUUUCUUUUUUUUUUUUUUUUUGAGACAGUCUCACUCUGUUGCCCAGGCUGGAGUGCAGUGGUGCCAUUUCGGCUCACUGCAAGCUCCACCCCCUGGGUUUAAGUGAUUCUCCUGCCUCAGCCUCCCAAGUAGCUGGGAUUACAGGCGCACACCACCAUGCCUGGCUAAUUUUUGUAUUUUUAGUAGAGACGGGGUUUCACCAUUUUGGCCAGGGUAGUCUCGAACUCCUGACCUCAGGUGAUCCCAAAGUGCUGGGAUUACAGGCGUGAGCCACCGUGCCCAGCCCACAUUUUCUGAUCUCUUUUUUUUUUUUUUUUUUGAGAUAGAAUCUCACUCUGUCGCCCAGACUGGAGUGCAAUGGCAUGAUCUCAGCUCACUGCAACCUCCAUCUCUCAGGUUCAAGCAAGUCUCAUACCUCAGCCUCUCAAGUAGCUGGGAUUACAGGGAUGUGCCACCACGCCCGGCUAAUUUUUGUAUUUUUAGUAGAGACGGGUUUUGCCAUAUUGCCCAGGCUGGUCUCGAACUCCUGGCAUCAAGUGAUCCGCUCACCUCAGCCUCCCACUAUGCUAGGCACAUGUGGCUCACACUUGGGCUAGUUCCCCAGUAUCCAUGCCCCCUUCUUCCAUAGUAAUAGCACUCCUGGUUUUUACCUGGACUUAUGGUCUUUGGGAACAAAGAGCACAUUUCACAGCUCUCUGUGGCCCCAGGACUAAAUGGAAUGUAAGCAGCAUUGCUGUGUAUGUCUUCUGGGAAAUGCCCUUAGAUAGACAGACAUGCACUUUUUUUAUUCUUCCAUCUGCUGCCUGGGCUCCAGCUGCCAUCUUGGUCAUUGGAGGCAAGGGCCACACCCUUGGCAUAGAGGAGUCAUGAGUUGGCAGGAGCCUAAAAUGCCAGAGGAUUUAGCAAAGCAGGGUCCCCACACCACUCCUGGAUCACCUAUUCCCAGAUCCUUACCUGAGUGAGAAACAAACCCUCUUGUUCAAGGCACUGUUAUUGUAGGGUUAUGUUAUUCACAGCUGCUCCUAAUCCUAGGGUGACACGUCACUUUUCAUGAGUUAUGUCAUUUUCAUCCUCACAACAGUCCUGCCAAGUGGAUGUUACCUCAUUUUUAGAGAGAGAAAAGGAGGCUCAAUGAUUUUAUUUUCUAUUUUAAAUAAAAAUUGACUUUCUUUAGUCUGUAUUCUGCUGAAGCCUCAGUGAUUUUAAGCAAGUGGUCCAAGGCCACCCAGCCAGUAUGAUGCCGAAGUGGGCUGAAGCCCUGGUUGCUCUGAUUCCUGGGCCCUGCUCUCUCUGAUUCCUGGGCCCUGCUCUCUCUGAUUCCUGGGCCCUGCUCUCUCUGAUUCCUGGGCCCUGCUCUCUCUGAUUCCUGGGCCCUGCUCUCUCUGAUUCCUGGGCCCUGCUCUCUCUGAUUCCUGGGCCCUGCUCUCUCUCUCUGAUUCCUGGGCCCUGCUCUCUCUGAUUGAUUCCUGGGCCCUGCUCUCUCUCUCUGAUUCCUGGGCCCUGCUCUCUCUGAUUGAUUCCUGGGCCCUGCUCUGUGAGCCCUUGGGGUCACACCCAGGCUGACCUCCCUGUGUGUACAGACCCAGGUUGAUGAACACCCUGUGGUCUUCCCAGGCUUCAUCUGGGUCCAGAAGCAUCUACUGAGCAGGUGGAACUGUUGCAGGGUCAGAGAUGUUGCAGGGUGACCCCAUUCUGUCCCUGUUUUAGCAGUGAAAGUCGCACAUCCCUCAUUCCUGGGCAAAUCAAGACAGUCACCCUAGAGCUGUGGUCCAGCCAGGUCCUGUUGCUGCCCCUUUGGGCACCCAGAACCUGAUCCCUCACAACCUGCUGUUUUCCAGGCAUUUGUGCACCACCUCCCAAUCCUUGGGAUCCUCCAGGCUGUGGUUAGAGGCUGGGACAGGGGUUAAGGUACUAUGAAAAUGAGGCUCAGGCUGGGCGCAGUGGCUCACGCCUGUAAUCCCAGCAACUUGGGAAACCAAAGCAGGGGGAUGGCUUAAGGCCAGCAGUUUGGGACCAGCCUGAGCAACAUAACAAGAAUUGUCUUUACAAAAAAAAAAAAAGCUACCCAGGCAUGGUGGCAGGCACCAGUAGCCCCGGCUACUGAGGAGGCUGAGGCAGGAAGACAGGAAGAUCACUUGACCCUGGGAGUUUGAGGCUGCAGCGAGCUAUGAUCGUGCCACUGCACUCCAGCCUCGGUUGCAGAGUGAGACCUCGUCUCUUAAAAAAAAAAUUAGGCUCAUCAAUGCCAGCAAGAAGUAACAGCCCAAAUCAAGUAAGACCUUGAUUUGUCUUUACAAUGGCCUCGAAAGACAGCAGCCCCCACGUUCAUUUUGACUCUCCAUUGUCCCCUGACUCUCUGUAUAUCCUGUGACCUCAUGAUAACAGAGUCCCUGCCUGCUGGUGAAAUGGGAAAGCUUCCCUUGAGCCCCUUGCAGGGCGUGCGAUGCGGGUAUGACUUGCUUCUUCAGUGCCUCGCUUCUUUAACCUCUAGAGCAGGUUGUGGGGCUCCGGGCCCACAGCAGCGUCUAGGGGUGGAUGAUUACAGCUCCUGAAGCCCCAGCAGGCAUGUGCUACUGUGUGCUUUUAGUUUUGCCGUCUAUAGGCAGCUUGUGUUAACCAGCUCAAUUAGACCCUCUACCUUGUUGCGAGGACAGAGGACUUUCUGUAUCCCGGGUUCUUGCCUUGGUGUUCUGAAGAAUCGGAUCACACCUGAGCUCAGAGAAUGAGUGCAAGGUUUUAUGGAGUGGAGGUAGCUCUCAGCAGAUGGGGGAGCCAGAAGGGACGGAGUGGGAAGGUUUUCCCCUGGAGUUGACCGCUCAGUGGCCUGGGCUCUUUUCCGACUGCCCCAGCCAAACUCCACCAGGUUCCCCCGGUUGAUGGCCUGCCGGCCUGCUGGCUCUGUGGGUGUGCUCCUUCUGCCGGCAUGCUCCAACGUCCUCUUGACACCCAGCUGCUCGUGUCUUCUUCUGCUGAUGUGUUCUCCUCAACAUCCAGCCACUUGUGUCUCUGCCCUUCACCCAUGUGACCUUGGCCCGGUGAUUUCACCUUUUGAGACUUAGUCUUCUCAUCUAUAAAAUGGGGAUAAUAAUACCUGCCUCACAAGGCUAUAGCAAGGAUUAAUGAGAUCAUACACCGUGAAGUUUGGCUCUGGACCUGGAAUACAGUUAACACUUGAUAAAGAUUGUCAUUGUUGUCACUGUAUCACCACUCCUCUGUGCCAGGCAGCUCUCAUGCUGGAUACCAGGGACCCUGCGAUACACCAGAGCCAUUCAGGAACUCCUUAAGGAACUCAGAAUCUGAUGAGGAGAUGUGCCACAAAGACAAUUUAAACAAAUAAUAGAUGAUGGCUCACACCUGUAAUCCCAGCACUUUGGGAGGCCGAGGUCGGAAGCUCUCCUGAGGCCAGGGGGUUCAAGACCAG
rnacentral:lncRNA from 1 species